rnacentral:lncRNA from 10 species
UCAAAGUGAGCCGAUCUCACUCACUGUCAGACACUGCAGAGUGAGAAACAGAUGAUGGUUCUGUGGCAAACGUCCUUUUGCUGAAUAUUCUACCUACGUGGCAACAAAAACUUUGGCCCCAGCAGUUUCUCACUCUCCAGCUACUCCACUGGCAACUUCCAACAAUUUGUCAAAGUGACCACUUGCAUGCUCUUGCCAGUCUAUGGCUCCAGUUGCUUCUGUUCCAGGAAGAAGCAAAGAAGUCUAAGUUCUUUGGAGUAAGAUGCUCUCAAAUGCCUAGGAACACUGAUCUCCUAACUUGUCUUCCUGCUUUGAGUGUCCCUCUGAGGUUAAAGUUCCUGCCUCAGUCUCCAACAAUGGUCAUUUCCACUGCUGCCCACUGAGGAGUGCCACUGGAGAUGAUCUCACAACAAAGAGAGGGGGAGAGGUCAGGAACUAACAUCUAUUUUGUAGUUACCACUGUGGUAUGGUUUGCAACAUGGCUCUGUAACCCUCAGGAUCCCUACCAGAUAUUUUCAUCUAUUCCCUUAUUCUCCUCAGGUCCCUGGCCCUCCCCUUUCCUCUGUGCUCUCAGCAGCUGACCUUGUCUUUUCCUUUACUGAGAGUAGAGGCACCUCUUACAAAUACUCUGGCCUCUGCCUGGACUGACUGGGCUAAAUUGUCUCCGAAGAUGGCCACCAACCAUUCCUCCCACCUGUCUGCAUGCAGGCUGCUCCUCCCGUCAGAAGAUGGAGACUGCUUCCUUGCCCUUCAAUCCAAGCUGGCUCAUGACUUGCUUCAAUGAAUAGGAAAUGGCAGAAGUGAUGCUCUGAGGCUUCUGGGCCUAGACUUUAAGAGGUGUUGCCCCUUUCCUUUUUCCCUCUUGGGAUCCAGCCUACCACAUAGAGAAGUUUGGGUUGACAACUAAAUGUGAGAGAGAGACAGACAGAGAGAAGAGGGAGAGCUGAUUCAGCUAGACCUUAGUCAUUCCAGCCAUCCUAGCUGAAGCACUAGCAUGUGAAAGAAGCCACCUUCUAACCUAUCAAUCAGAGCCCCCAAUUUUACUGACCUCAGUCAACACCAUGUGGAACAGAACUACCCCAGGGAGCCCAACCAACCCAUACAAUCAUGAGAAAUUAAAAACUGAUGUUGUAGCCUCCUGAGUUUUAAGGUAGUUUGUUACACAAAAAUACUGGAAUUUUGACCCACCUUCACCUCCAAUGCCAACCUAGUAAACCUGGAUAUAUCUUUCAAAAUUUGGCUCAAGUGUCAACUCUUUCAUGAACCCUCUGUAUCCUUUUCUUGCUCAUUCAAGCCCUAUUUUCUCUUCUCCUCCCCAAAAUUCCAUAGUACUUUGUAUUACAAACUAUGUGCUUACAACCCCCAAAGUCUCUGGGCAUCCAGAAGGCAGAGAUUUGGCUUAAUUCAUUUUUGCCUCUGCCUAGCCUAACACCCGGCACAUUUAGAUAUUUAGUUAUUGUUUGCUGAAUGAAUGGAUGCAUGAAGAAGAAAAUUUAACAGAUGAUAUCUACAGGCACAUCUGGCUCCAAAAUUGAAUCAUGUCAUCUAGCAAUGCUCAGUAAAGUUAACAUAAGCAAUUUC